UACAGAGGUCUCAAGCGUUGUUCGGAUUCAUUGGGCGUAAAGGGUGCGUAGGUGGCGCGCUAAGUCAGGUGUGAAAUCUCGGGGCUCAACUCCGAAACUGCAUUUGAUACUGGCGUGCUUGAGGACUGGAGAGGAGACUGGAAUUUACGGUGUAGCAGUGAAAUGCGUAGAUAUCGUUUGGAACGCCAAAGGUGAAAACAGACAGCUGGGAGUGUGCUGACGCUGAGACACGAAAGCCAGGGGAGCGAACGGG
rnacentral:rRNA from 1 species